rnacentral:rRNA from 1 species
CCUACGGGAGGCAGCAGUGGGGAAUAUUGCACAAUGGGGGAAACCCUGAUGCAGCGACGCCGCGUGAGGGAAGAAGUAUUUCGGUAUGUAAAGCUCUAUCAGCAGGGAAGAACAUGACCGUAGCUGAUUAAGAAGCCCCUGCUAACUACGUGCCAGCAGCCGCGGUAAUACGUAGGGGGCAAGCGUUCUCCGGAUUUACUGGGUGUAAAGGGAGCGUAGAUGGCAGCACAAGUCUAGAGUGAAAUGCCCGGGCUUAACCCGGGAACUGCUUUGGAAACUGUGCAGCUAGAGUGCGGGAGAGGAUAGUGGAAUUCCAGGUGUAGGGGUGAAAUCCGUAGAUAUUAGGAGGAACACCAGUGGCGAAGGCGACUAACUGGACUAUAACUGACGUUGAGGAGCGAAAGCGUGGGGAGCAAACAGGAUUAGAUACCCGUGUAGUC